CCUACGGGGGGCUGCAGUGGGGAAUAUUGCACAAUGGGCGCAAGCCUGAUGCAGCCAUGCCGCGUGUGUGAAGAAGGCCUUCGGGUUGUAAAGCACUUUCAGCGGGGAGGAAGGCGGUGAGGUUAAUAACCUCAUCGAUUGACGUUACCCGCAGAAGAAGCACCGGCUAACUCCGUGCCAGCAGCCGCGGUAAUACGGAGGGUGCAAGCGUUAAUCGGAAUUACUGGGCGUAAAGCGCACGCAGGCGGUCUGUCAAGUCGGAUGUGAAAUCCCCGGGCUCAACCUGGGAACUGCAUUCGAAACUGGCAGGCUAGAGUCUUGUAGAGGGGGGUAGAAUUCCAGGUGUAGCGGUGAAAUGCGUAGAGAUCUGGAGGAAUACCGGUGGCGAAGGCGGCCCCCUGGACAAGGACUGACGCUCAGGUGCGAAAGCGUGGGGAGCAAACAGGAUUAGAUACCCUAGUAGUC
rnacentral:rRNA from 1 species